GACCGAACCGACUAAUGUUGAAAAAUUAGCGGAUGACCUGUGGCUGGGGGUGAAAGGCCAAUCAAACCGGGAGAUAGCUGGUUCUCCCCGAAAGCUAUUUAGGUAGCGCCUCGUGAAUUCAUCUCCGGGGGUAGAGCACUGUUUCGGCUAGGGGGCCAUCCCGGCUUACCAACCCGAUGCAAACUGCGAAUACCGGAGAAUGUUAUCACGGGAGACACACGGCGGGUGCUAACGUCCGUCGUGAAGAGGGAAACAACCCAGACCGCCAGCUAAGGUCCCAAAGUCAUGGUUAAGUGGGAAACGAUGUGGGAAGGCCCAGACAGCCAGGAUGUUGGCUUAGAAGCAGCCAUCAUUUAAAGAAAGCGUAAUAGCUCACUGGUCGAGUCGGCCUGCGCGGAAGAUGUAACGGGGCUAAACCAUGCACCGAAGCUGCGGCAGCGACGCUGAUGCGUUGUUGGGUAGGGGAGCGUUCUGUAAGCCUGCGAAGGUGUGUCGUGAGGCAUGCUGGAGGUAUCAGAAGUGCGAAUGCUGACAUAAGUAACGAUAAAGCGGGUGAAAAGCCCGCUCGCCGGAAGACCAAGGGUUCCUGUCCAACGUUAAUCGGGGCAGGGUGAGUCGACCCCUAAGGCGAGGCCGAAAGGCGUAGUCGAUGGGAAACGGGUUAAUAUUCCCGUACUUGGUGUUACUGCGAAGGGGGGACGGAGAAGGCUAUGUUGGCCGGGCGACGGUUGUCCCGGUUUAAGCGUGUAGGUGUGUGUUCCAGGUAAAUCCGGUUCACUUUAACACUGAGGCGUGAUGACGAGGCACUACGGUGCUGAAGCAACAAAUGCCCUGCUUCCAGGAAAAGCCUCUAAGCAUCAGGUAACAUCAAAUCGUACCCCAAACCGACACAGGUGGUCAGGUAGAGAAUACCAAGGCGCUUGAGAGAACUCGGGUGAAGGAACUAGGCAAAAUGGUGCCGUAACUUCGGGAGAAGGCACGCUGACACGUAGGUGAAGUGAUUUACUCAUGGAGCUGAAGUCAGUCGAAGAUACCAGCUGGCUGCAACUGUUUAUUAAAAACACAGCACUGUGCAAACACGAAAGUGGACGUAUACGGUGUGACGCCUGCCCGGUGCCGGAAGGUUAAUUGAUGGGGUCAGCGCAAGCGAAGCUCCUGAUCGAAGCCCCGGUAAACGGCGGCCGUAACUAUAACGGUCCUAAGGUAGCGAAAUUCCUUGUCGGGUAAGUUCCGACCUGCACGAAUGGCGUAAUGAUGGCCAGGCUGUCUCCACCCGAGACUCAGUGAAAUUGAACUCGCUGUGAAGAUGCAGUGUACCCGCGGCAAGACGGAAAGACCCCGUGAACCUUUACUAUAGCUUGACACUGAACAUUGAGCCUUGAUGUGUAGGAUAGGUGGGAGGCUUUGAAGUGUGGACGCCAGUCUGCAUGGAGCCGGCCUUGAAAUACCACCCUUUAAUGUUUGAUGUUCUAACGUGGACCCGUGAUCCGGGUUGCGGACAGUGUCUGGUGGGUAGUUUGACUGGGGCGGUCUCCUCCUAAAGAGUAACGGAGGAGCACGAAGGUUGGCUAAUCCUGGUCGGACAUCAGGAGGUUAGUGCAAUGGCAUAAGCCAGCUUGACUGCGAGCGUGACGGCGCGAGCAGGUGCGAAAGCAGGUCAUAGUGAUCCGGUGGUUCUGAAUGGAAGGGCCAUCGCUCAACGGAUAAAAGGUACUCCGGGGAUAACAGGCUGAUACCGCCCAAGAGUUCAUAUCGACGGCGGUGUUUGGCACCUCGAUGUCGGCUCAUCACAUCCUGGGGCUGAAGUAGGUCCCAAGGGUAUGGCUGUUCGCCAUUUAAAGUGGUACGCGAGCUGGGUUUAGAACGUCGUGAGACAGUUCGGUCCCUAUCUGCCGUGGGCGCUGGAGAACUGAGGGGGGCUGCUCCUAGUACGAGAGGACCGGAGUGGACGCAUCACUGGUGUUCGGGUUGUCAUGCCAAUGGCACUGCCCGGUAGCUAAAUGCGGAAGAGAUAAGUGCUGAAAGCAUCUAAGCACGAAACUUGCCCCGAGAUGAGUUCUCCCUGAGACUUAGAGUCUCCUGAAGGAACGUUGAAGACGACGACGUUGAUAGGCCGGGUGUGUAAGCGCAGCGAUGCGUUGAGCUAACCGGUACUAAUGAACCGUGAGGCUUAACCUUACAACGCCGAAG
rnacentral:rRNA from 1 species